AACGAACGCUGGCGGCAUGCCUAACACAUGCAAGUCGAACGAGACCUUCGGGUCUAGUGGCGCACGGGUGCGUACCGCGUGGGAACCUGCCCUUAGGUUCGCAAUAACUCCCCGAAAGGGGUGCUAAUACCGGAUAAUGUCUUCGGACCAAAGAUUUAUCGCCUUUGGAUGGGCCCGCGUUGGAUUAGCUAGUUGGUAGGGUAAAAGCCUACCAAGGCGACGAUCCAUAGCUGGUCUGAGAGGAUGAUCAGCCACACUGGGACUGAGACACGGCCCAGACUCCUACGGGAGGCAGCAGAGGGGAAUAUUGGACAACGGGCGAAAGCCUGAUCCAGCAAGGCCGCGUGAGUGAUGAAGGCCGUAGGGUUGUAAAGCUCUUUUACCCGGGAUGAUAAUGACAGUACCGGGAGAAUAAGCUCCGGCUAACUCCGUG
rnacentral:rRNA from 1 species